UGGGGAAUAUUGCACAAUGGGCGCAAGCCUGAUGCAGCCAUGCCGCGUGUAUGAAGAAGGCCUUCGGGUUGUAAAGUACUUUCAGCGGGGAGGAAGGUGUUGUGGUUAAUAACCACAGCAAUUGACGUUACCCGCAGAAGAAGCACCGGCUAACUCCGUGCCAGCAGCCGCGGUAAUACGGAGGGUGCAAGCGUUAAUCGGAAUUACUGGGCGUAAAGCGCACGCAGGCGGUCUGUCAAGUCGGAUGUGAAAUCCCCGGGCUCAACCUGGGAACUGCAUCCGAAACUGGCAGGCUUGAGUCUUGUAGAGGGGGGUAGAAUUCCAGGUGUAGCGGCGAAAUGCGUAGAGAUCUGGAGGAAUACCGGUGGCGAAGGCGGCCCCCUGGACAAAGACUGACGCUCAGGUGCGAAAGCGUGGGGAGCAAACA
rnacentral:rRNA from 1 species